UACGUAGGGGGCAAGCGUUUGUCCGGAAUCAUUGGGCGUAAAGCGCGCGUAGGCGGCCAGAUAAGUCCGGUGUGAAAGUCACAGGCUCAACCUGUGAAUGCCGCUGGAAACUGUCUGGCUAGAGUCCGGAAGGGGCGAGUGGAAUUCCUGGUGUAGCGGUGAAAUGCGCAGAUAUCAGGAGGAACACCAAGUGCGAAGGCAGGCUCGCUGGG
rnacentral:rRNA from 1 species